GAUGAACGCUGGCGGCGUGCCUAAUACAUGCAAGUCGAGCGAACGGACGAGAAGCUUGCUUCUCUGAUGUUAGCGGCGGACGGGUGAGUAACACGUGGAUAACCUACCUAUAAGACUGGGAUAACUUCGGGAAACCGUAGCUAAUACCGGAUAAUAUUUUGAACCGCAUGGUUCAAAAGUGAAAGACGGUCUUGCUGUCACUUAUAGAUGGAUCCGCGCUGCAUUAGCUAGUUGGUAAGGUAACGGCUUACCAAGGCAACGAUGCAUAGCCGACCAGAGAGGGUGAUCGGCCACACUGGAACUGAGACACGGUCCAGACUCCUACGGGAGGCAGCAGUAGGGAAUCUUCCGCAAUGGGCGAAAGCCUGACGGAGCAACGCCGCGUGAGUGAUGAAGGUCUUCGGAUCGUAAAACUCUGUUAUUAGGGAAGAACAUAUGUGUAAGUAACUGUGCACAUCUUGACGGUACCUAAUCAGAAAGCCACGGCUAACUACGUG
rnacentral:rRNA from 1 species